CAUCUAUUCUUGCAACAGAUUGAUGGCUAGCAGGAGGAUUCCCUUGAGGAACAGACAACAGUUCAUCAGAAAUAGGAGAAUCCAGACCAGUACUCAGAUGAGCAGCAGCAGGUCUCCUUCUCUUGUUAAAAGUGGUACUUUGUGGAUACCCAUGGAUCUUGAAGAACAUAUCAAUUAAGUGUUCAGAUUUUUUACAGUAUCUACAAAAUAAAGGUCCCCUGGCUUGGUCAAAAUUGACUCUCUAUCUGAAAGGAGGAGGAGGAACAGACAGUGUGACCUUGUUAAAUCCAACAGGCUGCCUAUUAGUAUGUACAUUGAAAGAGACAGAGUCUGGAUUAA
rnacentral:lncRNA from 1 species